UAAUACGUAGGGUGCGAGCGUUAAUCGGAAUUACUGGGCGUAAAGCGUGCGCAGGCGGUUUUGUAAGACAGGCGUGAAAUCCCCGGGCUCAACCUGGGAAUUGCGCUUGUGACUGCAAGGCUAGAGUGCGUCAGAGGGGGGUAGAAUUCCACGUGUAGCAGUGAAAUGCGUAGAGAUGUGGAGGAAUACCGAUGGCGAAGGCAGCCCCCUGGGACGUGACUGACGCUCAUGCACGAAAGCGUGGGGAGCAAACAGGAUUAGAUACCCUGGUAGUCCACGCCCUAAACGAUGUCAACUAGUUGUUGGGGAUUCAUUUUCUCAGUAACGUAGCUAACGCGUGAAGUUGACCGCCUGGGGAGUACGGUCGCAAGAUUAAA
rnacentral:rRNA from 1 species